rnacentral:tRNA from 1 species
GGGCCGCUAGCUCAGUUGGUAGAGCAGCUGACUCUUAAUCAGUAGGUCCACGGUUCGAUCCCGUGGCGGCCCA